rnacentral:sRNA from 1 species
ACUGAGCCCGAUGCCCAACCCUGCAGCCCAUUUGAUUUGCAAACACUUCGGUGUGGCUCAGGCUAGCCUCACAUUCAUGAUCCUCCUGCUGCAGCCUUUGGAGGUCUGAGAUCACUGGUGUAACUAAUUAUCAACUGACUUUAAGGAAGAAGCUGUUUCUGUAGCCGGUAAUAAAGGCAAAUUCUUGAACCCUGCUUCCAUUAAGGUGUGCCUCACAGUCACUACUAGAUUUAGUAGCCUUACCUGUGGAAAAGGUGAUAUGCACUUGUUUCCAGGAGAAGAGGACAGGAGGUAUUGUCAACUGUAUGGCGCCUGAAAAUUUAUACUCAGUAAGUUGCAACUGGUGUUUUUCAUUCUUGUGUUUUGAGUCCUCUAAAAAAAAAAAAUGUGACCCAUUACCUUCCACAGAAUGAAUGCUCAGAACAUCGCUAAGGUGAGGAUGUCAGAUGGGAUAUGGGGAAAAGUCAGGCACAAGGGACAGGAAGUGGUGGAGGCAGGAACUGAGCAGGUGUGAGCAGGACCUGGAUUGCUGGAGAGAAAUGGGUGCAUUCAGACUUUGGGGGAAGCAGAGUGGAGGCAGGCAGGACCUGGACCACCAGGUCCGGGAGUCGGGAAGGAGACUGAAGUGGGGCAUGGAGGGAAGUAAAACGGGUUAAAUAAUAAAUUAGGGACGUGAUUCUGAGACUGAGCAAUUCAGUCUCUGGGGCGGUAACCAGAGUCCGUGUAGGCUCUAGGACAGGCAAGUGGCAUGGUGAUGGCUGGGGCUUUGGGCAACUCCACUGGGUAGUCACAUGAGUAGCAGACUGGAGAGUGGAGGAAGCAGAGUGUGUGGUAUCUCCUGUGGAGACGUGUGACAAAACGACCUCUUAUGCCGGAAACACACCACAGGAACAUCAGACAGCCGGAAAGGAAAAGAUCACAAAGUCUGCUAACAAACACCUGGAGGAACCCAAGGUCUGUGUUUCUUUUUCCCUAUUCUUUUUUCCUUCCUCGAGCUAUCUUCAAACACUUAGCAACCCCUUGUUUCCUAGAACAAAGCUGGAAAUAAGUCAAUUAAUCGAUGGUCUCUUUGGUCACCGCUACCCAGCCAUUCUGGCUCCAGAUAACAAGAUUCUUAUUUCUGUUUCCUAGGUCUGCCCAGCCUUGAUUGCAAUUCCACUCAAUGUGCCUUUGAAGAGAGAUGAAGGAAAAAGUUGAGCAUGUGAGUUAAUCAUAGCUCAUGUUUAAAGAUCCAGAACCUUCGCCACCUAAGCCCAUUAGAAAGCAAAUACUCCCACAGGGAGCAAACAUUAGAUUCCGUAUGUUUAAAAAAAAAAAAAAGUCCAUCCCAUCUCUUCUCUCUUCACUUGAGCUGUUACUUUGUAACUAUAUGAUGGCAUGGAAGCUUCUGGGUUCUCUGGCAUUUUCUCUCCAGGCUAGAACCAUCAUGUAGCACUUCAGCUGCCCAAGUCGUCAAUCCAGCUAGCUCAUAUUCUGGGAGUGCAGUGCUUGAGAACUUUCCUACAUUUCAAAAAGGCCCUUGCUAAGGACAGCAGGAGCGGAGACAAGACUUCAUUGUCCCUGCUCAGACAAUGCUCAGCAUCCUCCUAGAGCCAGCAAGGGCAGCUCUUCCUCCACUCACCUGCCUCUCACAGGAAUGCUGGGAAAUUAACUGAGGUCUUCAUGCUUAGAGGAUACCAUUUUACAGACUGUGCUGUCUGUUUAUUGGACUUGAGUUUAAGACUGAGUCUCAACAAACUGCACAAGGUCACACAGACGGAAUUUGAUCGUUUUGCCAUGGUUUGCAUACAGAGAGGUCUGUGUGAAAUUUUAAUACCUUUACACGGCUUGAUAUCUUACCUUACCUGGCGAGGGUGAUCUUUGAAUGUGUGAUAAACUGGCUUUAGACUCAUUAGCCUAUGGGCAGUUGGGUCCACCUGAGAAAAUGAAACCGCAGAGGCAAGCCCAGUCAAGAUCACCUGACAAGGAAAGGAAGGAGUGGGACUGAAUCUCGAUGGCACUGUGUGGCCUGUGCACCUCCUGGCUCUGUUAAGGAGUCAAUGGUUAAUUUUUAUUUUUAAAUGACUAGGACGGGAACAUGACUGGGCAGGUGAGGCCAGAAGAGGGCGCCAGAUCCCCUGGAGCUGGAGUCCGAGCUAGAGAAGCUGCCUGUUUUGGUUCCUAGAAAGGCAGUUCAGGUCCUUAAGCUGGGACAUGGCUCCAGCCCCACAGGAGCCAACUUCUUCCAGGGCUUACAGUACAGUUUGCGUAGAAGAAGCUUUCUCAUUUCUAAAAAGUUCAACAGUAUUAAUAAUUUUCUGUUAAGCAUCCUCGUUGGCUUUUCAGCCAAUGUGCCCCAAAAUGUUCGAAAACUGAAACACUAUCCCAAGAAGAAGUGAAAUUACACCUUCACUUCCUAAUACAGAAAAUACUAAAGCCAGUCGGCCUCCUAAAUGAGCGGCAUCCACCAAUGGUCAGAACCACUUUCUAAGUGUGCUGAAAAAGCUGCACAUGAGUCUCAUCGCUUAAAAAUGGGAAACAGCAACAUUUAUGUGCCAUACCAAGUUUUUAAAAUGAUGUAAUAUACCAAAAUUUGCAGUUUAAAACUAUUAAAAAGAAAAAAGGUCUCACUAUAUACCUUUGGCUGGUCAACAACUAUGGAGACCAGGCUAGCCUCAAACUCAAGAGACCUGCUUGCCUCAGCUUCCCAAGGUCAGGAUUGGAACCCUGGUAAAAAGUGUAUGCCACUAUGCCCCCAUCACUGCUUAAAAACCAGGGACAAAGCUGGCUCAUUAGCAGGGCAACGUUGGAGGCUCACACCAGUGCAGAGGUUCACACUCCCCGGUGACCAAGCGAUGAGACCAUAAGCAGCAGGGAGGCCAUGAGAGUCACUGCCAGGGAGAUUACUGACUCCCUGUGGACCUGGUAACUUGGUAGCUGGGUGUGAUGGUGGCCACCUGUGAUCUCAGCAGUCAGGGAGGAGCACCAGGCCAGCUAGGAUGAGACCCUAUCGCAAAAAAAACAACAACGCACAGAAGACACAGAAUAGGAAUGCACACCAAUAAAAAGUCACACACUCAGUUCUUUUAAGCUUAUUUAAUAUUUGAAUUCUUAUUUUCUAUUUUCCCAGACCCCAGAAAACAGAAAGUUUUAGAUGACCCAAUAUUUUGUUCCAGAAACAUACAGUCUUAUCAGCUAAUUCAUAAAAGAGCUUUUUACAAAGGUGCAUCUGGAUAAUUAGAGCAAUAAAAGUCUUUUAGGCAUUUCAAAAUGUGAUCAGUAAAAAUACAUGAUUAUUAAUAAGGUUCUUUUCUUUUAAAGAUAGUUCCAGAUUUCUCUUAAAAGCAAUUUCUGUUAAAGAGUACAUGAUUGUAUGGUGAACGAGAAAGUGAGACGUCCUAGUGGGAAGAGGUUCAUUAAAAACAACCAACAGUGUGCACGCUGCGGUCACCGUGCUGUGUAUGUCUGCUUCACGGGUGGCACCUGGAAAUGGCUGGGAGGGACUGGUUUCUGAGAAGCCCCUUUUUCCUGAUCAACGGAUUAUUACCCAAACCCUCGGUAUCCAUGGGGAAGGCGACCAGACAGAAGGAGAGCGCUCCUUUAAACAAAAAACAAUUUUACAGAUCACAGUAAAUGGGGGGUGAAAUGUCAAAAAAAAAAAAAAAAAAAAAAGAAAGAAAGAAAGAAAGAAAAAGAAAAAAAGAAAAAAAAAAAAGAAAAAAAAAGAAACCAUGAUCUACAGGACAGAAACUUCUGCAAGGUGUCGCUAAGUUUGUAUUUGAGGACCUUUGGUGCCUUCUGCCACAUGGAGGGAAAGAAGUACAGAGCCAGCUCAGGUGGCUGCAGAGAGGCUGCUUGGGCAGAGUGCCAGUCUCAGGCCUUGGCAAUGCCAAGGAGCAGACUGGAAAGUAGACGGACAGCAUCAGAGGCAGCAUACUUAAAGUCUUUAGCUUCUUAAAAAAUUCCGGCAACAAGGACUUUUCUCUUCUUCCCUCCCCCAAAGACAAAGAAACAAAA